rnacentral:rRNA from 1 species
GAUGAACGCUGGCGGCGUGCCUAAUACAUGCAAGUCGAGCGAACGGACGAGAAGCUUGCUUCUCUGAUGUUAGCGGCGGACGGGUGAGUAACACGUGGAUAACCUACCUAUAAGACUGGGAUAACUUCGGGAAACCGGAGCUAAUACCGGAUGAUAUUUUGAACCGCAUGGUUCAAAAGUGAAAGACGGUCUUGCUGUCACUUAUAGAUGGAUCCGCGCUGCAUUAGCUAGUUGGUAAGGUAACGGCUUACCAAGGCAACGAUGCAUAGCCGACCUGAGGGGGUGAUCGGCCACACUGGAACUGAGACACGGUCCAGACUCCUACGGGAGGCAGUAGUAGGGAAUCUUCCGCAAUGGGCGAAAGCCUGACGGAGCAACGCCGCGUGAGUGAUGAAGGUCUUCGGAUCGUAAAACUCUGUUAUUAGGGAAGAACAUAUGUGUAAGUAACUGUGCACAUCUUGACGGUACCUAAUCAGAAAGCCACGGCUAACUACGUG